rnacentral:rRNA from 1 species
CUGUAUGGUCAAACCACCACCCUGAACACAUUUGAUCUCAGAAGCUAAGCGGGGUCGGGACCUGGUUAGUAUUUGGG